AGAGUUUGAUCAUGGCUCAGAGUGAACGCUGGCGGCGUGCCUAACACAUGCAAGUCGAACGAGAACGGAUAUAAGUUUACUUAUAUUGUCAGCUAAGUGGCGCACGGGUGAGUAAUAUAUAGUUAAUCUGCCCUGAAGAAGAGAAUAAUUGUUGGAAACGACUUGUAAUGCUCUAUAUGCCUUUAUCACAUAAGUGAGCAAGGGAAAUAUUUAUAGCUUCGGGAUGAGACUGUACGGUAUCAGCUAGUUGGUGAGGUAAUGGCUCACCAAGGCUAUGACAUCUAACUGGUUUGAGAGGAUGAUCAGUCACACUGGAACUGAGACACGGUCCAGACUCCUACGGGAGGCAGCAGUGGGGAAUAUUGCACAAUGGAGGAAACUCUGAUGCAGCAACGCCGCGUGGAGGAUGACACAUUUCGGUGCGUAAACUCCUUUUAUUAGGGAAGAUAAUGACGGUACCUAAUGAAUAAGCACCGGCUAACUCCGUGCCAGCAGCCGCGGUAAUACGGGGGGUGCAAGCGUUACUCGGAAUCACUGGGCGUAAAGAGCAUGUAGGCUGAUUAGUAAGUUGGAAGUGAAAUCCUAUGGCUCAA
rnacentral:rRNA from 1 species